UGACCUCAGAUCAGACAAGGAUACCCGCUGACUAA
rnacentral:rRNA from 1 species